GGAAAGACGUAAAAGUGGAACCAGCCUACCCGCCUAGUUCUAGGAGUACUUCGUGACGCAGUUCCAAAUUUCACUCAGGAAAGAUGUUGUUGAGCUGCCAAGAUGCUUUGAUCUGAAAUCAAGCAUUAUCAUUAAUUGUGUCAACACACAAGGUCGGAUCUGCACUCAAGCUUGCAAGAAAAAGAAUGGAAUCAGGUCAGUGUGUAGAAUGCAUCCAGAAAUGGAUCCAAUUGUAUCAAUAAACAUGUAUUCUGUUAAUCUAUGCAAAGGUACUCUUUAGUUAACAAUAACAGUGCCAACUGUUGCUUCAGUAAAUAUCAGUAAUGGUUGUUGUUGAGCUACCUUUCCUAUGUAAUCACAAUCAGGGUUAAAAUUUCGUUAAUGGUUCUGCAAAAGUCAUGCAGCAUCAACUUAUUUAAGUCCACUCAAGAUCAAUGGCAUAUUUUUAUUGUUUAUGUGUAAUCUACAUGAUGUUUUUCGAAUGGACCACGCAAUUUCUACAGAUAACAUAGUGUCAAAAAUCAUUGAGGUCUUUAAGUGUGUGUAAGGAUCGACAAUAAGUUCACGUCCUUCACGAGGAUGAACGAAGGCACGGUAUGAAAGCGCAGCUAAUGAUUUACAAAACGUGCCAAUGAAAACAACGUUGACGUUGUGCAGCACGAAUCACGUACUGCACAAAAACCUGAUAAGCUCUGCAACUUCGGCUCGCACUCAUCAUACACGAGAUGGCGCACCCGCUAGAAAUUAAUUCUGCAAAUGUAGCGGUUCUUGGUAGGCAUCUGCAAGUGUAGGUCGACAGAAUUUAAGUCGCCUUGUGGUCAUACUCAGAGGUGGAUAUGACCACAGUGGUGUUGUCCCUUGUAGUUGUAGGCUGACAUGAAGUAGAUGGAUUGGUCUUGAGGUAGAGCUUAGUUGGCCGCAUUCUUUAGCUUACUUUGGUUGGUUCUCUGGUAGUUUUAGGUUCUUGAAAGUUAGCUAUCCCUGGAUAGGGACUUUUAAGGUUAGGACUAGGGUUGAGUUCAGGUUAGGGUUAGGGUUUGUAGUUUAGGUUGACUGUGGUCAACACCUCUGACUUGACUUCAAGUAGACUGAUUUUGUUGGCCAACACUUGCAGACACUUACCAAGAAACCCCAUCUAGGCCAUCAAGCACAAGAUCAGCAACCAGUCGCGCUGCAAGCCAUCAGCACACGCAUGUCCUGCCACCAUAAGACCUCUGCAUUUUCCUGCCUUGUUUCUAAGGUGAACCGUAAAUACACAAGCCCGAUGUUCCCCUCUAUCCAAUUGUGGCGUUCAGGGUUUCAACAACCUACAACGAGACCAGACAUUUUAACCAAGAUCCUCCACCCAUUAGUCGGCCUCUCACACAAACCACACACUUAUACACCUCAAUGAUUUUUGAUACUAUUUUAUCUGUAGUAAUUGCAUGCUUCACUCUAAUAAUAAUAUUAAUAAUAGUAAAAAUUAAUAUAGCUAUAUCCAUCAAGAAAAUGCUCCAUGGCGCUAAUACAGAGAAACAUUUAAAAUAUAGAUAAUCAGCAAAAACAACAAGAUAUAAAAUUAAGUUUAAAAUCAGC